AUUGAACGCUGGCGGCAUGCUUUACACAUGCAAGUCGAACGGUAACAGGGUGCUUGCACCGCUGACGAGUGGCGAACGGGUGAGUAAUGCAUCGGAACGUACCCAGUCGUGGGGGGAUAACGUAGCGAAAGUUACGCUAAUACCGCAUACGUCCUGAGGGAGAAAGCGGGGGACCGUAAGGCCUCGCGCGAUUGGAGCGGCCGAUGUCGGAUUAGCUAGUUGGUAGGGUAAAGGCCUACCAAGGCGACGAUCCGUAGCGGGUCUGAGAGGAUGAUCCGCCACACUGGGACUGAGACACGGCCCAGACUCCUACGGGAGGCAGCAGUGGGGAAUUUUGGACAAUGGGCGAAAGCCUGAUCCAGCCAUGCCGCGUGAGUGAAGAAGGCCUCGGUUGUAAG
rnacentral:rRNA from 1 species